rnacentral:rRNA from 1 species
CAGCAGCCGCCACGGUAAUACAGAGGGUGCGAGCGUUAAUCGGAUUUACUGGGCGUAAAGCGUGCGUAGGCGGCUUCUUAAGUCGGAUGUGAAAUCCCUGAGCUUAACUUAGGAAUUGCAUUCGAUACUGGGAAGCUAGAGUAUGGGAGAGGAUGGUAGAAUUCCAGGUGUAGCGGUGAAAUGCGUAGAGAUCUGGAGGAAUACCGAUGGCGAAGGCAGCCAUCUGGCCUAAUACUGACGCUGAGGUACGAAAGCAUGGGGAGCAAACAGGAUUAGAUACCCGUGUAGUCCCUGUCUCUUAUAC